rnacentral:rRNA from 1 species
UACGUAGGGGGCUAGCGUUGUCCGGAUUUAUUGGGCGUAAAGAGCGUGUAGGCGGCCAGGUAGGUCUGCUGUGAAAACUCGAGGCUCAACCUCGAGACGCCGAUGGAAACCCUCCAGCUAGAGUCCGGAAGAGGAGAGUGGAAUUCCUGGUGUAGCGGUGAAAUGCGCAGAUAUCAGGAAGAACACCCGUGGCUAAGGCGGCUCUCUAGUACGGUACUGACGCUGAGACGCGAAAGCGUGGGGAGCGAACAGG